GGUUUCGAUCUGGCGCAAUCAAUGCGGCGUCAUCCAGGAGGGUUUCCGAUUCCAGCACGGCGGGCGCGUCCGUCCUCCGCCCCGGAUGCCGCUACCGCCCCUGCUCGCGUCGACGUGGCGUUCGUUCUGCUGGGCCUCGGCCACUGAAGGGCGGGCCAAACGUCGCCUGCGGGGUCACAUCGGCCCGCAUCUCCAGGCCCACCACGCAGUGGAGCUCUGCGCCGCCGCCGCCGCCCGCACCAAGAUCCCUUCGCCGAUAGAGCAACAGCUUGCGCUACAAGCAGCGUCAGUCGGGAUCAAGGGGCGGGCCAAACUAGGGUUCUGCGACAACCAGGUACCAUCCUGCCAAUCUUUGCUUCAUCUGAAAUCCAUGCAUGAGGCCAGAUGCUUGAUUCUAAGGAUCUCCGCAGAAACUUGUCCCAUGCCCGGCCGGUCUUUGGGCGAUGUCAUGGAGCAGGAGAGGCCUAUUCUAACCAUUAGAGCGACACAGUUCUUCAUCACUUUCGGAAAUCUGAAGUUACAGUUGAAAAAAAUAACUAGCCCAGCCGUGAGUUAUGCAAUUCUGAGAUUGGAGAAGAAAAUUAUUAAAACUGAAAUAGAGCAAAAGAGAAGAUUACACUGUUUGCAAGGGUCACUAUCUGUCUAACUGAACUCAAAAGAAGGAAAAGCCAUGAGAUAGUACAGGGGAUUACUGUAGCAUGACACUGGGGGUGUUACACCAUCUAUGCAAGGCUUUAAAGCCAUAAAGAACUUGGAGAAAAGGACUCUACCAUCCUCUGUUACCUCAGUAUCUAUCUCCACAACACUGCCAGAGAGCAGAGGACUUGGCUCUUCAUUUCACAGUCUGAACCUCCGUUUGGUGGUAAGGUGUCUCACACUUAUUUUCUCAGACCAGAGUCGACUCCAUGGCCCUAUUAUAUAUGCGCGCACUGCAUUGACCGGCGCAUCAACUUGAAGAGCGGUUGUCGGCUCCAUAGCGUAGACGCGCGCUACCAUGAUGUUGACUCCAAAUUUUGGCACGGUCAAGAACUUAUUUAAAAUGGCCUCAAAUGGAGAAGUAAUCUACAUGAAAGAAUUCCGUAUUGUUGAUAUGAACAUCUUUGAAGUUUGGGCCAUCGCCGUCCGAUUUCACCGCUAAGGCCGAAACUAUGCUCAAAGUACUAAGAUCUUAUAUUCAGAGUACAGUUUGGCGGUUUAAGCCCCCAAGACGACCUCAAAUGGAAAAACUUUCUACA